ACUACGCCUUAGCUAAGCUAAACUAAGCUAAGGCCUAGUCCACACGUACACAGGUAUUUCUUUUUUAAACGGGGAACUUUCGUCCAAACGUAAACUGCAUUUUAGGUCACUGAAAACGGACCUUUUGGAAAAACUCCUUCCAUGGUGAAGAUAUUCAGAAAGUCCGUUUUAAGUGUUUACAGGGAAAAUUGAGAUUUUGGCUUGUAACGUCAGAACGUGCGCCGUUAUCUCCAGUUUGACAUCGAUGUGCGCCGUUAUCUCCUUUGUUUACAUGAGGCGAUUUUGGUGCAAUGGCGCAAAUAGUCAAAUAGUGCUGUUUUUAAUCUUGCUAACAGGAUGUUUUCACAAACGUACUGUUACUCUCCCACUAUAUUGAGGAACAGGAGCAAAGGAGUGGCAUUCCGAUGGAGUUUGCAUGGUGGCUGCCCCUUAUGCUGACAAACAAGCAGCCAAAGGAUGGAAGCAGUGCGAGAACUGUUUGAAACAGCGAGUUGGAGGCCAGGAGUGGAGGUCCAACCUACGACUUCCAAGUCAAAUUGAAGAAAGUAACAGUCACGGAAGUAGGCUGAUUGAGUAUAACACAAAACAACAAUCCUGCAGUCCUGUAAUACUUUCAAUGACCUCAAAGCUGUCCUCAACCAGGUGUGUGUGGGAAGGUCUUCACACCGGACCCGACAACCCAAGUGAACCGGUGGUGGAAAUGUUGUUGAUCGGGGCCUACAAUCCAUAUCCAGGCUCUAAAUUAUUACGAGGGCCCACCUGUAGACCUCCUCUAAUCUCUCCAUCUCUUUCCUUGCCCCUCUAUUCUCUUUUCCUAUUCCCUUCUCCAUCAAUUCUCUCUUCCUAUUCCCUUCUCCAUCAAUUCUCUCUUCCUGUUCCCUUCUCCAUCAAUUCUCUCUUCCUGUUCCCUUCUCCAUCAAUUUUCUCUUCCUAUUCCCUUCUCCAUCAAUUCUCUCUUCCUAUUCCCUUCUCCAUCAAUUCUCUCUUCCUAUUCCCUUCUCCAUCAAUUCUCUCUUCCUGUUCCCUUCUCCAUCAAUUCUCUCUUCCUAUUCCCUUCUCCAUCAAUUCUCUCUUCCUAUUCCCUUCUCCAUCAAUUCUCUCUUCCUAUUCCCUUCUCCAUCAAUUCUCUCUUCCUAUUCCCUUCUCCAUCAAUUCUCUCUUCCUAUUCCCUUCUCCAUCAAUUCUCUCUUCCUGUUCCCUUCUCCAUCAAUUCUCUCUUCCUGUUCCAUUCUCCAUCAAUUCUCUCCCCUCCAUCACAAUUCUUCCUCACUUCCUCUUCCGUUAUCUCCACCUCUUCUAUCCUCUGUUCCACUCUGGUCUACUCUCUCUUCCAUGUACCCUGCUGGCUCUCUGCUUUCUGUACCAUUAUGUCCCACACUUUUAAGACUCUUGUCUCUUCCCUGGCUACUAAAGUAAUGCAUACCCUUCUUAAAAAACGCAGAGCAUUACCUUUAAGAGAUGGUAUUAAAC
ensembl:lncRNA uncharacterized LOC114840385